rnacentral:rRNA from 1 species
AGCCAACGCUGGCGGCAGGCUUAACACAUGCAAGUCGAGCGGGCACUUUCGGGUGUCAGCGGCGGACGGGUGAGUAACGCGUGGGAACGUGCCCUCUGGUUCGGAAUAACUCAGGGAAACUUGAGCUAAUACCGGAUACGCCCUUUUGGGGAAAGGCUUGCUGCCGGAGGAUCGGCCCGCGUCUGAUUAGCUAGUUGGUGAGGUAACGGCUCACCAAGGCGACGAUCAGUAGCUGGUCUGAGAGGAUGAUCAGCCACACUGGGACUGAGACACGGCCCAGACUCCUACGGGAGGCAGCAGUGGGGAAUAUUGGACAAUGGGCGCAAGCCUGAUCCAGCCAUGCCGCGUGAGUGAUGAAGGCCUUAGGGUUGUAAAGCUCUUUUAUCCGGGACGAUAAUGACGGUACCGGAGGAAUAAGCCCCGGCUAACUUCGUG